rfam:Dichanthelium oligosanthes cultivar Kellogg 1175 unplaced genomic scaffold Do_version_2_scaffold770, whole genome shotgun sequence.
UUUGUACUCCCUCCGUUUCAAAUUGUAGGUCGUUUUAGCUUUUCUAGAUAUAUAUGUUUUUGUAUGUAUCUAUAUAUCUAGAUAUAUACAAAAACAUAUAUAUCUAGAAAAGCCAAAACGACCUACAAUUUGAAACGGAGGGAGUAGCAA